rnacentral:rRNA from 1 species
CCUACGGGCGGCAGCAGUGGGGAAUAUUGGGCAAUGGGCGCAAGCCUGACCCAGCAACGCCGCGUGAAGGAAGAAGGCCCUCGGGUUGUAAACUUCUUUUAUCAAGGACGAAACAAAUGACGGUACUGGAUGAAUAAGCCACGGCUAACUACGGGCCAGCAGCCGCGGUAAUACGUAGGUGGCAAGCGUUAUCCGGAUUUACUGGGUGUAAAGGGCGUGGAGGCGGGACGGGAAGUCAGAUGUGAAAACCAUGGGCUCAACCCCUGGCCUGCAUUUGAAACGGUAGUUCUUGAGUGUUGGAGCGGCAGGCGGAAUUCCGUGUGUAGCGGUGCACUGCGUAGAUAUACGGAGGAACACCAGUGGCGACGGCGGCCUGCUGGACAAUACCUGACGCUGAGGCGCGACAGCGUGGGGAGCAAACAGGAUUAGAUACCCGAGUAGUC